CUAAACGAUGUCAGCUGAUUGUUCGGGAAGCAAUUCCUGCGUAACCAAGCCAACGCGUGAAGCUGACCGCCUGGGAAGUACGGUCGCAAGAUUAAAACUCAAAGGAAUUGACGGGGACCCGCACAAGCGGUGGAUGAUGUGGAUUAAUUCGACGCAACGCGAAAAACCUUACCUAGCCUUGACAUGUCAGGAAUCCGGAUGAAAGUCUGGAGUGCCCGCAAGGGAGCCUGAACACAGGUGCUGCAUGGCUGUCGUCAGCUCGUGUCGUGAGAUGUUGGGUUAAGUCCCGCAACGAGCGCAACCCUUGUCAUCAGUUGCUACGCAAGAGCACUCUGAUGAGACCGCCGGUGACAAACCGGAGGAAGAUGGGGAUGACGUCAAGUCCUCAUGGCCCUUACGGCUAGGGCCUCACACGUCAUACAAUGGUCGGAACAGAGGGCAGCGAAGCCGGGAGGCGGAGCUAAUCCCAGAAAACCGAUCGUAGUCCGGAU
rnacentral:rRNA from 1 species